GACGAACGCUGGCGGCGUGCUUAACACAUGCAAGUCGAACGAAGUGGCGAACGGGUGAGUAAUACUUGGGUACCCUGCCCUCCUUUUUGGGAUAAGCCUUGGAAACGGGGUCUAAUACCGCCUAAAGGGGGAGUGGCUCGCUGCCUAUUAGCGUGUUGGUGGUGUGAUGGCCUAACAAGGCGGGGACGGUUAGCCGGCCUGAGAGGGUGAACGGCCACAUUGGUACUGAGAGACGGCCAAGAGUACUACGGGAGGCAGCAGUGGGGGAUAUUGAACAAUGGGCGAAAGCCUGAUGCAGCGACGCCGCGUGGGGGAUGAAGGCUUUCGGGUUGUAAACCUCUUUCGCUAGCGAACGGGUAGGUGGAGAAGAAGCGCCGGCUAACUACGUGCCAGCAGCCGCGGUAAUAC
rnacentral:rRNA from 1 species